AUACAGAGGGUGCAAACGUUGCUCGGAAUAACUGGGCGUAAAGCGCGUGUAGGCGGUUUCUUAAGUCGACUGUGAAAGCCCACGGCUCAACCGUGGAAGUGCAGUCGAAACUGGGAAACUGGAGUCCUGGAGAGGGUGGCGGAAUUCCCAGUGUAGAGGUGAAAUUCGUAGAUAUUGGGAAGAACACCGGUGGCGAAGGCGGCCACCUGGACCGGUACUGACGCUGAGGCGCGAAAGCGUGGGGAGCAAACAGGAUUAGAUACCCCGGUAGUCC
rnacentral:rRNA from 1 species